GGGGUCUUAGCUCAUCAGGUAGAGCACCUGCCUUGCAAGCAGGAGGCGCCCGGUUCGAGCCCGGGAGGCUCCA
rnacentral:tRNA from 1 species